GGCCUAAGUAGUGCUAAAUUGCAAGUUUGGCUUUGAAAAGUAAAAAUUUUUGUAGGCCU
rnacentral:tRNA from 1 species